UUUACAAGCCUCGACAUCAAUAAAAUCUCCCGCAUAUUUACAGCCUUUAUUGUAAACUACUAUAAACAUAUCUUACAUACAAUUUUCACCUCAGUAUUAUGUUAUCCUCUUCAUUCAAGUAAUAUGUAAACUCUUCUCGAAUGUAAAAUGAACGAUCAACUUUGAAGAGUAACCCAAAUAUGGCUCUGUGUAUUCGGUUGAAUAGCCAAUCAUUUCAAAUCAAUUUGAGCGGGUCUGCAUCGUUAUGUUGACGAAGUGUGCGACCAGUAGUAAUUUUUUGAAACCUCAUCUAGAUUUAAGAAUAUUCUUGGCUUGACAACUGCUCGAACUCCCGGGUUGGCAUGCACUACAGGUAUAGUGAAUUUGCAUGUAGAUUGUUAAAGGGAAAACAUCAAGACGGGGCAAGGAAGAUGACAAAACAUGAUUACCCAGAUUAAGGAUCCCGAUGUUCUUUGGCUCAAGCUACUCAGCCUACCAUGAGAAAAUAAAAAGAUCUGUCGUGAAGAAGAGGCGGGUUAUCAACUUUCAUAUUAAAGAUG